rnacentral:rRNA from 1 species
UACGGAGGGUGCAAGCGUUAAUCGGAAUUACUGGGCGUAAAGCGUGCGCAGGCGGUUCGCUGUGUCCUGUGUGAAAGCCCCGGGCUUAACCUGGGAAUGGCAUGGGAAACUGGCGGGCUGGAGUGUGGCAGAGGGGGGUGGAAUUCCGCGUGUAGCAGUGAAAUGCGUAGAGAUGCGGAGGAACACCGAUGGCGAAGGCAGCCCCCUGGGCUAACACUGACGCUCAGGCACGAAAGCGUGGGGAGCAAACAGG